ACUCUAGUCAUGCCUGUUGUCUGACAAAGGUCAACUGGAAAAAGCUUGAGACUUUCUUCCAGUAUCAAUGAUGUACAUAUAAAUCAUUGGACUUUCCCCCUGCACUGUCAGAGCGUCCCACCAGAGGCGUAUAGAGCAGCAAUUCUAUGCAAUGAUUCGGGUGUUCAUUAUACAGAGUAAUACAUGAGUUGAUAACCUCGCACAGCCUGCAGAUAGGUCAACAAUCUUCUGGAGAAGUUAUGUUAUGGAUCAUAAGACUAUGGGCAAAUAAAGUGUUUUAUCUGUACAUUAACAUGCUUUAAAAUUAAUAUUUGAAUGUUGUGCACUUAAUUGAGUCAAGUGGAGGGGCUGUGGUUUUACAAAUAGCAUAUUUUAAUUGCUGUGUAAAUCAACCUUGACCAAGCCACUUAUCCUUAACCUUUAGCCAACAUAGGGAUGUCUGGAACACUGACCUGUUGAUCUGAUAUGGAUUUUCAUUUGAUCAUACUCACAUUAAUGUAUAACCUAAAGGUCUUUGCACAUUUAAAAAAUAAACAAUUACUUAUUGGUUUCUGAUCACUUCAUGUGAAGUGGGCAGACAAUAAGAUACUAUAAGAGGUGUGCCAGGCUAACGACAGUUGAAGUCAGAAGUUUACAUACACCUUAGCCAAAUACAUUUAAACUCCGUUAACAAUUCCUGACAUUUAAUCCUAGUAAAAAAUCCAUGUCUUAGGUCAGUUAGGAUCACCACUUUAUUUUAAGAAUGUGAAAUGUCAGAAUAAUAGUAGAGAGAAUGAUUUCAGCUUUUAUUUAUUUCUUUCAGGAUUGAGGUCAGAGCUUUGUGAUGGUCACUCCAAUACCUUGACUUUGUUGUCCUUAAGCCAUUUUGCCACAACUUUGAAGUAUGCUUGUGUAACAGUAUAACUUUAGACCGUCCCCUCGCCCAUACCCGGGCGCGAACCAGGUACCCUCUGCACACAUCAACAACAGUCACCCCUCGAAGCAUCGUUACCCAUCGCUUCACAAAAGCCACAGCCCUUGCAGAGCAAGGGGAACUACUACCUCAAGGUCUAAGAGUAAGUGACGUCACCGAUUGAAACGCUAUUUAGCGCGCACCACCAACUAAGCUAGCCGUUUCACAUCCGUUACACUUGGGGUCAUUGUCCAUUUGGAAGACCCAUUUCCGACCAAACUUUAGCUUCCUGACUGACGUCUUGAGAUGUUGCUUCAAUAUAUCAACAAUUUUUCUUGCCUCAUGAUGCCAUCUAUUUUGUGAAGUGUACCAGUCCCUCCUGCAGAAAAGCACCACAACAACAUUAUGCUGCCACCCCCAUGCUUCACAGUUGGGAUGGUGUUCUUCAGCUUGCAAGCCUCCUCCUUUUUCCUCCAAACAUAAUGGUCAUUAUGGCCAAACAGUUCUAUUUUUGUUUCAUCAGACCAGAGGACAUUUCUCAAAAAGUAUGAUCUUUGUUUCCAUGUGCAGUUGCAAACCAUAGUCUGGCUUUUUUAAUGGGGGUUUUGGGGCAGUGGCUUCUUCUUUGCUGAGCAGCCUUUCAGGUUAUGUCGAUAUAGGACUAGUUUUACUGUGGAUAUAGAUACUUUUGUACCCGUUUCCUCCAGCAUCUUCACAAGGUCCUUUGCUGCUGUUCUGGGAUUGAUUUGCACUUUUCGCACCAAAAUACAUUAAUCUCUAGGAGACAGAACGCGUCUCCUUCCUGAGCGGUAUGACAGCUGUGUGGUCCCAUGGUGUUUAUACUUGCGUACUAUUGUUUGUACUGAUGAACGUGGUACCUUCAGGCGUUUGGAAAUUGCUCCCAAUUUUCCAAGGUGUUUAAAAGCACAGUCAACUUAGUGUAUGUAAACUUCUGACCCACUAGAAUUGUGAUACAGUGAGUUUUAAAUGAAAUAAUCUGUCUGUAAACAAUUGUUGGAAAAAUUACUUGUCAUGUGUAACAGUAUAACUUUAGUCCGUCCCUCUCCUCGCCCCAACCUGGGCUUGAACCAGGGACCCUCUGCACACAUCAACAGUCACCCUCGAAGCAUCGUUACCCAUCGCUCCACAAAAGCCGCAGCCCUUGCAGAGCAAGGGGAACCACUACUUCAAGGUCUCAGAGCAAGUGACGUCACCGAUUGAAACGCUAUUAGCGCACACCACCGCUAACUAGCUAGCCAUUUCACAUCGGUUACACUCACCCCCCUUUUCCUCAGAAACCAGUGAUCCGGGUCAACAGCAUCAAUGUAACAGUAUAACUUUAGUCCGUCCCAUCGCUGGGCUCGAACCAGAGACCCUCUGCACACAUCAACAACAGUCACCCACGAAGCAUCGUUACCCAUCGCUCCACAAAAGCCGCGGCUCUUGCAGAGCAAGGGGAACCACUACUUCAAGGUCUCAGAGCGAGUGAUUCACCAAUUGAAACGCUAUUAGCGCACACCAUCGCUAACUAGCUAGCCAUUUCACAUCGGUUCCACAUGCACAAAGUAGAUGUCCUAACCGACUCGCUAAAACUAUAGUUUGUUAACAAGACAUUUGUGGAGUGGUUGAAAAACAAGUUUUAAUGACUCCAACCUAAGUGUAUGUCAACUUCCGACUUCAACUGUAUGUGUCACUGCUCUAGGUUGAUUAAAGUAAAUUAUAGUAAUUAAUUCACUAUGAACUAAAGUAAAUUAACCAGAAAAGAUCAUUCCCAGUUGAUGGGACCAUUACUCCUCCCUCCCUGACAGAAAUUCUAUCAACACAUCUGUGCUUCACGCGUAACAUGGACCUGAAUCAUUGCUACUAUCCCUUACAGGACGACUACAAGGGCCUCCCCCGCCUUCCCUUCUGCAAAUCAGAUCACGCCUCCAUUUGGCUCUUCUCCACCUAUAGGCAGAAACUUAAGCAGGAAGCUCCUGUGGUAAAGACUGUUCAACUGUAAAGACUGUUCAACUGUAAAGACUGUUGUUUAACACUUUUUUUGGUUACUACAUGAUUUCAUAACACAAACUUGUAAAAAUAAAGAAAAACCCCUGAACUUUU